rnacentral:rRNA from 1 species
UACGGAGGUCUCAAGCGUUGUUCGGAUUCAUUGGGCGUAAAGGGUGCGUAGGCGGCUCGGUAAGUCGGAUGUGAAAUCUCGGGGCUUAACUCCGAAACUGCAUUCGAUACUGCCGUGCUUGAGGACUGGAGAGGAGACUGGAAUUUACGGUGUAGCGGUGAAAUGCGUAGAUAUCGUAAGGAAGGCCAGUGGCGAAGGCGGGUCUCUGGACAGUUCCUGACGCUGAGGCACGAAGGCCAGGGGAGCAAACGGG